GCGGCUGUGGCGGAAUUGGCAGACGCGCUAGAUUCAGGUUCUAGUGUUCGCAAGGACGUGGGGGUUCAAGUCCCUUCAGCCGCACCA
rnacentral:tRNA from 1 species